rnacentral:misc_RNA from 1 species
CAGCCGGGUAAUUCCAGCUCCAAUAGCGUAUAUUAAAGUUGUUGCAGUUAAAAAGCUCGUAGUUGAAUUUCGGGAUUGGCGCAUCGGUCGUGCCUCACGGGGUAUGAACUGGUGCAGUCAAUUUCUCACCUUCUGGAGAACCGCGAUGUCCUUAAUUGGAUGCCGCGGGGAACCAGGACCUUUACUUUGAAAAAAUUAGAGUGUUUAAAGCAGGCAUUUUUGCUUGAAUACAUUAGCAUGGAAUAAUAAAAUAGGACGGCAUGGUUCUAUUUUGUUGGUUUCUAGGACCACCGUAAUGAUUAAUAGGGAUAGUUGGGGGCAUUAGUAUUCAAUUGUCAGAGGUGAAAUUCUUGGAUUUAUUGAAGACUAACUACUGCGAAAGCAUUUGCCAAGGAUGUUUUCAUUAAUCAAGAACGAAAGUUAGGGGAUCGAAGACGAUCAGAUACCGUCGUAGUCUUAACCAUAAACUAUGCCGACUAGGAAUCAGACGAUGUUAAUUUUUUAAUGACUCGUUUGGCACCUUACG